rnacentral:rRNA from 1 species
UUAAAUGGCCGCAGUAUUUUGACUGUGCAAAGGUAGCAUAAUCAUUAGUUUCUUAAUUAGAAGCUGGAAUGAAAGGUUGAACGAAAAAAUAACUGUCUCUUUAUAAAUUUAUUAGAAUUUUAUUUUUAAGUUAAAAAGCUUAAAUAAUUUUAAAAGACGAGAAGACCCUAUAGAGUUUUAUAUAAUUUUUAAUAGAAAUUUAUUUUUAAUUAUAAAAAUAUUAUUAUAAAUUAUAUUUAGUUGGGGUGAUUAAAAAAUUUAAUAAACUUUUUUUUUAUUUAACAUUUUUUUAUGAAUAAUUGAUCCAUUAUUAAUGAUUAAAAGAUUAAAUUACCUUAGGGAUAACAGCGUAAUUUCUUUUUAGAGUUCUAAUCGAUAAAGAAGUUUGCGACCUCGAUGUUGGAUUAAAAUAUAGUUUUGGUGUAGAAGCUGAAAUAUUGGGUCUGUUCGACCUUUAAAAUUUUACAUGAUCUGAGUUUAAACCGGUGUAAGCCAGGUUGGUUUCUAUCUUUAAAUAUAAAAAAUAUUUUAGUACGAAAGGACCAAAUAUUAAAAAUAAAUUUUUAAAAAAAAUUGAAUAAUAAUAAUUA